rnacentral:tRNA from 1 species
CAGGGAGACAACAAAAUGUUUAUAUUAUUAUUUUGUCGCCUUAGGUCGAUCGGUAUCUCACGUUCUUGAUUAAGAAUUUCAUUUCCUAAGUUUUUCUAGGUCACACCCAUUAUUUUUCCUGGGCCAUUAGCUCAGGUGGUUAGAGCGCACCCCUGAUAAGGGUGAGGUCCCUGGUUCAAGUCCAGGAUGGCCCAUAUCUCUAUGUUGGGGGUAUAGCUCAGUUGGUAGAGCGCCUGCUUUGCAAGCAGGAUGUCAGCGGUUCGAGUCCGCUUACCUCCACUGAUUACCACCUCUUCCAUAACCGGUAGAAAGGAAAUGUUUUGAGUUGUGAUCAUUAUUCUGAACGAAUCUAGCUUCCUAAUGAAAUCAUUAAGAUGCUGGACUCAUUGAAUUAAUUUCAUUGUUUUCAGAGAACCUUGACAACUGCAUAGAUUAUUUUUAAAGACAAUAAGCAUCUUUAAUGAUGCAGAUUUAUUAUUUGUGCAAAUGCAUUAAUAACAAUUCUAUUAAGCUGAUGCUUCAAUAUUUGAAGUUAUU